UCCCUCUCUCUUCCCUCUCUCUAUUCACUAUACAGCCUCUGCGGCCUUGCUUAGGUUUUCUUGUUGGAUAUGGGAGGCUUUGAGAUUUGAACAUUGAGUAAUGGAGAAUCUGUAAAGCUCAGGAGGGAUAGCGCCAUAUGAACAAAAUGGUUUAAUUUAUAUUAGGCAUUUGUUUUGGCGCUAUCCAUCCUGAGUUUCAUGGCUUCUUCUUACUAUACAUCUCUCUCUAUCUCUGCUGCAAAUCUCAGCAAAAUCCUGCUAGGAUCAUUAAGGAUCAUGUAUGUUUUGCGAGCAGAUUCGAUCGAAACCCUAGUCAUCAUCUCUAGAUCUUCUCCAGAAGCAGCCUUGACGCCUUGUGCGUUGUGAUGACUGAUGAGAGAUGUAGCUAGGGUUUCAUGGUUUGAACGGAAACGUUUUGCAGAGCAGCUUUUUCAAUAAUGGAGGAGAGGCUAGCACCUACGGAUGUGGACCGCUCCACAACUUCCCUUCAGGUCACGGUCUCGUCGCUUUCUUUUCUAUUCAUGUCCUCAUUAUCUCCAUCCUCACUAUUCCUCCAUUAAAAACAACAAAAAUAAAAUUAA